UUUAGGGUGGCAGAUGGAUAUGCUGUGGAUUUAGAAUCCUUAUAUGAGGGAAUACUCCCCUAAAA
rnacentral:tRNA from 1 species